CUGUGUUGCCUGUGAGUCCAUGCUCAGCUCUCAUGUUUCUCCAGCACAGGGGCUGCUCCAUGGAAGCAAAGGCUCU
rnacentral:pre_miRNA from 1 species